rnacentral:lncRNA from 1 species
AAGUUUCAAAGCAACAUUACCUCUUCGAGUUUUCUUAUCAAUCUAAAAAACUAACUCUUGAGCCAAAAGUAUGUUGUCUAAAAUUAAUCUGCCACUGACAAAACCAUUCUAAUUAUCUGAGAUUGGUUAAGGCAGUAUUUUUGCAAGUCAUCAGCGAAGAGUUUGGUAAUUAUCUUAUUAAGGUGUCACGACCCAAUUUCUCGGGCCAUGACCGGCGCAUGAGCUCAAUGAGCAUAGCUCACUAAACCCAAGCAAGCCUAUCCAUUUACUUUUCCUUAACAAAUUUAUCAUAUCAUGCAUACACACACACCUUUUCUCGGGUGUGAACAUAGCCAAAACACAAUGGCAUUAUCGAUAAUGAUAUACAUGUACUAUACCAGUCAUGUAUUUAGCAAUUUACAUUGCAUACACAUAUUCACAUUGUUAGAUUGUAUUCACAAUACAAAAAGACCCAUGACUUCCAGCGGAGACAUUUACAAUAAAAGGGAUUACUAUCGAAUGCCAGACACAUACCCAGGAGAUGCACUACGGGGACUCCUCGUUCUAAGGUCCAACAGUCACUUGAUCUGAAAACAUGAAUUUUUAUAAAACGUGAGUACAAUACUCAGUGAGUGAACAAGAAGGGAACAAGCAUACAAUAAGGAAUGUUUCUCGAAAUCAUGAUGCAUUCGUUUUCUCAAAACCAUGCAAUUGUUUUAGCUCCUUUAAACCCCUCAUGUAAACCCCACAUGAGUAAAUCACUUUACAAAAAUCCAUGCUCAACUAUGGUACCAAAGAAAUGGGAAAUAUGGCAAAAACCCACAAGUUAGCAAAA